rnacentral:rRNA from 1 species
GAAUAGGGAUGAUGCUCAGCACCGAAUCUCUCGCCUGGUUGAGCGGGCGCCGAGAAAUGUGGUGUUCAGGGGGACCGUGCGCGCCUGUCCGAUUUUGUCCAAGUCUCCAUGAACGGGGCGAGCAACCCAUAGAGGGUGAUAGGCCCGUAGACCGACAAAUCGCCGACCGUGUACUGGGUCGAAUACCCCUAAGAGUCGGGUUGCUUGAGAGUGCAGCCCUAAGCGGGAGGUAAACUCCUUCUAAAGCUAAAUAUCGCCACGAGACCGAUAGAGAACAAGUACCGCGAGGGAAAGUUGAAAAGAACUUUGAAGAGAGAGUUCAAUAGUGCGUGAAACCGUUCAGGGGGUUAAACGAGUGAGCCCUCGAAGGACGAACGUGGACUGCUACCCGGCAUUUGGUUGCAUGCCCCGACGCCUGAAAAUGAUGAGAUGGUCGUUCGACGAUCACUCCGGUGUCGGGAUCGGAUUAGCCGCGCCAAAGUCCGCAAGUUCAGCCACAAGUAGGACUCUGCGACCGAUUGACGCUUAUUGUGGUUACACGGUUUGGGGCUUAGCGAGUUUGCGAUGCGGUUCGCGCCGUGUCUUUACGAGCGGCCCCAUGUCCCAACCACACGUCGAUCGUGACCUGUCUCCGUACGGCGGAGCGCAUCGG